UCGUAACUUGUAUGGCUUCGAAUGUACCUGACUCGGGAACUCAAAAACAAUUAGAAUUUUGUUUCCUUUGGUAUUCGAGCCAACAAGUUCGU
rnacentral:pre_miRNA from 10 species